GAUGAACGCUGGCGGCGUGCCUAAUACAUGCAAGUCGAGCGAAUGGAUUAAGAGCUUGCUCUUAUGAAGUUAGCGGCGGACGGGUGAGUAACACGUGGGUAACCUGCCCAUAAGACUGGGAUAACUCCGGGAAACCGGGGCUAAUACCGGAUAACAUUUUGAACCGCAUGGUUCGAAAUUGAAAGGCGGCUUCGGCUGUCACUUAUGGAUGGACCCGCGUCGCAUUAGCUAGUUGGUGAGGUAACGGCUCACCAAGGCAACGAUGCGUAGCCGACCUGGGAGGGUGAUCGGCCACACUGGGACUGAGACACGGCCCAGACUCCUACGGGAGGCAGCAGUAGGGAAUCUUCCGCAAUGGACGAAAGUCUGACGGAGCAACGCCGCGUGAGUGAUGAAGGCUUUCGGGUCGUAAAACUCUGUUGUUAGGGAAGAAUAAGUGCUAGUUGAAUAAGCUGGCACCUUGACGGUACCUAACCAGAAAGCCACGGCUAACUACGUGCAGCCGCCGCGGUAA
rnacentral:rRNA from 1 species